rnacentral:miRNA from 1 species
CAUAAUCUAUUAGGUUCGUGCAAAAGUAAUCACAGUUUUUGCUAUUACUUUCAUGGCAAAAACCGCGAUUACUUUUGCACCAACCAAAUA